AAGUCGUAACAAGGUUUCCGUAGGUGAACCUGCGGAAGGAUCAUUAACACGUAUCCAACGUUAAACCCCCCUGUGAACUUUUAUACUUGCUCUCCGAGCCCGCCGGAAUUGCAAUCCCUGGUAAAUCAUUGUCAGUUUGGUAGGCGAAGAUCGAGCGAUCGUUGCAAGUGGCCUGGUUUCCCCAAGCAGUCAGUGUCUGGAAGUGUCAUUGAUUGUGUAAGGAUAACGCUUUUCGAUCACUAGAGGCCGAACACCGCCGUGGCCUAUAUCAACCCCACUACCUGAACUCGCCUCGUAUGGGCAACAAAACGAACAACUGUUAACAAUGGAUAUCUUGGUUCUCGC
rnacentral:misc_RNA from 1 species